GUUUGGGCUGGUUUUGGGGUGCUGACGUGCCACCCCCCCAGUGCAAAGGGCCGUGUCCCUGUCGCUGUGGAGCUGCUUUAGCCUGGCCUCGAGCUGCGACACCUUCUGGGGAGAAGCAGGGCAAGGUGGUUCUCCAGGUGGAAGUGGCCAAGCUGCGUCACAACAGCCGACGCCUGGAGCAGGAAUUGCACUUGGCCUCGCGCCA